rfam:Lysinibacillus sp. F5 Contig15, whole genome shotgun sequence.
ACAAAGGCUAUGAAAAGAAAUAGUAUCAAUUAUUUUUACGAACAGAAAGUUACCGGUUGAUGAGAGGUGCAUGUAAAACGAUUGGGAAUUCAUCUUGGAGCUGCGUACCGAAAAGAUUAUUCUAAGUAGGCUACGUCGGUAAGCACCCGUAAUCAUGUGCGAGAGUAUCGUCAAAUGACCGUACUUCUUAAGGUAAGUAAUGUGAAUUGCUUAUAAAUUAAAGGUGGUAACACGAGUUGAAUCGUCCUUUUG